rnacentral:misc_RNA from 1 species
AACGCAUAUUGCGCUCGCGGCUUCGGCCAAGAGCAUGUCUGCCUCAGCAUCGGGUUAAUAUCACUGCCAAAAUAUUUUUAAAUAUUUUGCCGCAGUGGAUCUGGCCGUCCCAGUGACUGGCGCAGCAUGUCGGACUCAACAUCCGCUGCUGUGCCUAAUUGAUCUGGGUCGGCUGAAAAUCAGAGCGCUGGCCAAGGACCCGCUACGGGGCCGCAACUGGGUAGGUUUUAGGGAUCGCUAGCCUUCGCGGGCUGGGGAGCCCCUACUAUCAACGCUUAGUUGUUGGUCUUGGGACCCUUCGUGCCUGGCCCACAACCCAGGAAACCCCUAUUUAUUUCCUCGAUCUGAGCUCAGGCAAGAACACCCGCUGAACUUAA